rnacentral:tRNA from 1 species
AACAAGACGGAAGAGAGUCACUCUUACCGUCGCGCAUACCAAGCGGGUCUGCCGCCUUCGUUUCUCUUUCUUCAGCGAAUGACUUUGGAUCAGCGCUCGCGCGCCGUACCGCAGCCCUUUGGGCUGCUGGCGCUCCGCGAGGGCGCGGCAUGAGCCGCGACGGCCGGUCGGCCUUGCGAGGCUUCGCCUCGAGGUCAGCAUCUUGUUACGGACAGAGCGCGGUCUUUAGGGCUUGUAGCUCAGUUGGUUAGAGCGCGCGCUUGAUAAGCGUGAGGUCGGAGGUUCAAGUCCUCCCAGGCCCACCACUAACAGUGCAACCCGAAGGGUUGUCACUUGCCGGUCGAUGCGAUCGGGCACUAUCAGGGGCCGUAGCUCAGCUGGGAGAGCGCCUGCUUUGCAAGCAGGAUGUCGUCGGUUCGAUCCCGUCCGGCUCCACCAAUGCGCGAUCUCGAAGAGAUCGUCGCGGCGCGAUGAUCUUGCAGAUCACGGCGUUGGUGUCGAGUAGAGGCGGCGAGAAAAAAGUCAUUCGAUAUAAGAGUUUGCGUCGAGCCUCGUGCUCUGCGCCUGUUCUGUUUGACAUCGUAAAGAGAAGAUUUGUUCGAACUUCAUGAGCCGAAAGGUUUGUGAUUUGUCGCAAGGGACGCUCAAUCCCUUGCCUAUGAUGGGUUUGCCUAACCGCGCCCUCGAACGGAUCUCGAGAAGCUGGUCUUUUUGUG